GGGGCUUCCACCCCUCGGUGCCGGCGUUAACGCAUUAAGCACUCCGCCUGGGGAGUACGGCCGCAAGGCUUAAACUCAAAGGAAUUGACGGGGACCCGCACAAGCGGUGGAGCAUGUGGUUUAAUUCGAAGCAACGCGAAGAACCUUACCAGCUCUUGACAUCUUCUGAAAGCUCUAGAGAUAGAGUGUUCCCUUCGGGGACAGAAUGACAGGUGGUGCAUGGUUGUCGUCAGCUCGUGUCGUGAGAUGUUGGGUUAAGUCCCGUAACGAGCGCAACCCUUGUUGUCAGUUGCCAGCAUUUAGUUGGGCACUCUGGCGAGACUGCCGGUGACAAACCGGAGGAAGGUGGGGAUGACGUCAAAUCAGCAUGCCCCUUAUGAGCUGGGCUACACACGUGCUACAAUGGAUGGUACAGCGAGUCGCUAAACCGCGAGGUCAAGCAAAUCUCCUAAAGCCAUUCUCAGUCCGGAUUUCAUCCUGCAACUCGGGAGACAUGACACCGUUAAUCCGCGGGAAGGGCUAGAAAA
rnacentral:rRNA from 1 species